GUAGGGAAUCUUCCGCAAUGGACGAAAGUCUGACGGAGCAACGCCGCGUGAGUGAAGAAGGUUUUCGGAUCGUAAAACUCUGUUGUAAGGGAAGAACAAGUACGUUAGUAACUGAACGUACCUUGACGGUACCUUACCAGAAAGCCACGGCUAACUACGUGCCAGCAGCCGCGGUAAUACGUAGGUGGCAAGCGUUAUCCGGAAUUAUUGGGCGUAAAGCGCGCGUAGGCGGUCUCUUAAGUCUGAUGUGAAAGCCCCCGGCUCAACCGGGGAGGGUCAUUGGAAACUGGGAGACUUGAGUGCAGAAGAGGAGAGUGGAAUUCCAUGUGUAGCGGUGAAAUGCGCAGAGAUAUGGAGGAACACCAGUGGCGAAGGCGGCUCUCUGGUCUGUAACUGACGCUGAGGUGCGAAAGCGUGGGGAUCAAACAGG
rnacentral:rRNA from 1 species